GUGACAGCCGCCGCGGUAAUACGAAGGGGGCUAGCGUUGCUCGGAAUCACUGGGCGUAAAGCGCACGUAGGCGGACUCUUAAGUCGGGGGUGAAAUCCUGGAGCUCAACUCCAGAACUGCCCUCGAUACUGAGAGCCUUGAGUCCGGGAGAGGUGAGUGGAACUGCGAGUGUAGAGGUGAAAUUCGUAGAUAUCCGCAAGAACACCAGUGGCAAAGGCGGCUCACUGGCCCGGUACUGACGCUGAGGUGCGAAAGCGUGGGGAGCAAACAGGAUUAGAAACCCGAGUAGUCC
rnacentral:rRNA from 1 species